rnacentral:lncRNA from 1 species
CAUGAAAAGGAUGAAGACUAGAAGGAAAAUAUUUAUAAACCACAUACCCAAUAAAGGAUUUGUAUAUAGAAUUUAUAAAGAACUCUAACAUCUCAACAGUAAAAAUACAAUCUAAUAAGAAAAUGGGCAAACAAUAUGAAGAUUUUUUCAUCAAACACAAUGUGCAUCUGAAAAAUAACACAUUAAAGAAUUUUCAACAUCACUAAACAAUAGGGAAAUAGAAAUCAAAACUACAGUGAAAUAUCACUACAUAUCUACUGGAAUGGCUAAAGUUAAAAAUAGAGAUGUGAGUGAGAAUGCAGAGAAACUAGAUCAUUCAUGCAUUGCUGGUGGGAAUGUAAAAAUGGUACAGCCAUUCUGGAGAAGAGCUUGACAGUUUCUUUAAAAAAAUACAUGCAACUACCAUCUGACCCAGCAAUUGUACUUCUGGGCAUUUAUCCCAGAGAAAUGGAAACUCAUGUUCACCAAAAAAAUAUGUGCACAAAUGUUCAUAGCAGCUUUAUUUAUAAAAAGCUCAAAGCUGGAAUCAGCUCAGAUGUCCAAUAAGUGAAUGUUUAAACAAAUCAAUACAUAUGUGCCAUGGAAUACUGUUCAGUAAUGAACUGAAUUUUUGAUACACUCAAUGGAUCUUGGAUAACUAGGAAAUUAUACUGAGCAAGAAAACCUCUCCAAAGGUUGAAUAUUGUAUUAUUCCAUUUUAAAAAAUAUUUAUUUUUGAUUGUUCUUGGACACAAUGCCUUUAUUUUAUUUAUUUAUAUGUAGUGCUGAGGAUCGAACCCAGGACCUUGCACGUGCUAGGCAAAUGCUCUACCACUGAAUCACAACCCCAGCCCCUGUAUUAUUCCAUUUAUAUAGCAAUUUUUCCCAAUAUUGAGGGUUGAAUCCAGGGGACACUUUACCACUGAUUUACAUUUCUAGACCUUUUUAUUUCUUUUAAUUUGGGGGGAGAAGGGAGUGCUAGAGAUUGAACUCAGGGGCACUCAACCACUGAGCCACAUACCCAGCCCUAUUUUGUAUUUUAUUUAGAGACAGGGUCUCACUGAGUUGCUUAGCACCUCACCGUUGCUGAGGUUGGCUUUGAACUCUCGAUCCUCCUGUCUCAGCCUCCCUAGCUGCUGGAAUUACAGGCAUGAGCUACGCGCCCCGGUUUGUUUGUUUGUUUGUUUGUUUAUUUAUUUAUUUAAUUGAUUGAUUGAUUGAUUGAUUUUUGGUAUUGGGGAUUGAGCUGCAUACUACUAAACUACAUCCCCUGUCCUUUUUUUUUCUUUCCUUUUUGGUACCAGGGAUUGAAUCCAGAGGCACUUAACCAUUGAGCCAUAUCCCCAGCCCUUUUUUAUUUUGAGACAGGGUCUCAAAUAAAGCUUAUAUAAAUAAGCUGCACAGAUUUUUUUUUGUUGCUUAGGGCAUCACUAAAUUGCUGAGGCUGACUUUGAAUUUAUAGUAUUCCUGCAUCAACCCCACAAGCUGCUGGGAUUACCAUGUAUAGCUGUUUUUGUUUUUGUUGUUGUUUGUUUGUUAUUGUUUGUUUAUUUGUCUUUUUUUUGGUGACAGGAUACUCACUAAGUUACCGAGGAUUUCUCACAAGUUACUGAGACUGGUCUUGAACUUACAAUCUUUCUGCCUCAGCUUCCUAGGUUGCCAGCAUUAUAGUUUUGUGCCAUUGCAUCUGGCUGUAUUUUUAUUUUGAGACAGGAUCUCACUAAGAUGCCCAGGCAGGUCUCAAACUUGUUAUCUUCUUGCCUCAGCCUCUGGAAUAGUUAGAAUUAUAGGCAUGUGCCACAGUGUCUGCUAUAUGGCACUUUAAGUGACAAAAAUUUUAGAAAUGGAGGAGAGAUUGGUAGUUAAGAUCAGAGAAAGUAUGCAAGAGUGGGAAGGAGUUGAGUUGGUAAUAUAAGAUCAGCACCAGGGAUCCUUGUAAUGUUA